GCUGGCGGCGCGCUUAACACAUGCAAGUCGCACGAGAAAGCAGGAGCAAUCCUGUGAGUACAGUGGCGUACGGGUGAGUAACACGUGGGUAAUCUACCUCUUAGUGGGGAAUAACGCUGGGAAACCGGCGCUAAUACCGCAUAAGCUCGAGAGAGGAAAGCAGCAAUGCGCUGAGAGAGGAGCCCGCGGCCGAUUAGCUAGUUGGCAGGGUAAAAGCCUACCAAGGCAUAGAUCGGUAGCCGGCCUGAGAGGGCACACGGCCACACUGGCACUGAAACACGGGCCAGACUCCUACGGGAGGCAGCAGUGGGGAAUCUUGCACAAUGGGGGUAACCCUGAUGCAGCGACGCCGCGUGAGCGAUGAAGCCCUUCGGGGUGUAAAGCUCUUUCGUCAGGGACGAUAAUGACGGUACCUGGAGAAGCAGCUGCGGCUAACUACGUGCCAGCAGCCGCGGUAAUACGUAGGCAGCGAGCGUUGUUCGGAGUUACUGGGCGUAAAGGGUGUGUAGGCGGUCUUCUAAGUUUGGUGUGAAAUCUCCCGGCUCAACCGGGAGGGUGCGCCGAAAACUGGGAGACUAGAGUGCGGGAUGGGAGAGUAGAAUUCCUGGUGUAGCGGUGAAAUGCGUAGAUAUCAGGAGGAA
rnacentral:rRNA from 1 species